rnacentral:rRNA from 1 species
AGAGCUCGUAGGCGGUUCGGUAAGUCGGGUGUGAAAACUCUGGGCUCAACCCAGAGACGCCACUCGAUACUGCUGUGACUAGAGUUCGGUAGGGGAGCGGGGAAUUCCUGGUGUAGCGGUGAAAUGCGCAGAUAUCAGGAGGAACACCGGUGGCGAAGGCGCCGCUCUGGGCCGAAACUGACGCUGAGGAGCGAAAGCGUGGGUAGCAAACAGGAUUAGAUACCCUGGUAGUCCACGCCGUAAACGUUGGGCACUAGGUGUGGGCUCUAACCAACGGAGUCCGUGCCGUCGCUAACGCAUUAAGUGCCCCGCCUGGGGAGUACGGCCGCAAGGUUAAAACUCAAAGGAAUUGACGGGGGCCCGCACAAGCAGCGGAGCGUGUUGCUUAAUUCGAUGCUACGCGAAGAACCUUACCUGGGUUUGACAUGCUGGGAAAAGCCACAGAGAUGUGGUGUCCUUCGGGUCCAGCGACAGGUGGUGCAUGGCUGUCGUCAGCUCGUGU